GCGCCCGUAGCUCAACGGAUAGAGCAUCUGACUACGGAUCAGAAGGUUAGGAGUUCGAAUCUCUUCGGGCGCA
rnacentral:tRNA from 1 species